ACGCUCGACACCUACGGGAGGCAGCAGUGGGGAAUAUUGCACAAUGGAGGAAACUCUGAUGCAGCGAUGCCGCGUGAGGGAAGAAGGUUUUCGGAUUGUAAACCUCUGUCUUUGGGGACGAUAAUGACGGUACCCAAGGAGGAAGCUCCGGCUAACUACGUGCCAUCAGCCGCGGUAAUCUGAGCGGGCUGGCAAGGC
rnacentral:rRNA from 1 species